AAUUAUACCCUUUUCAUUUAAAAACCUAACCCAAAUUCGUUAGUUUCUCAGAUCUCUCUCUCUCUCUCUCUCUCUCUCUCUCUCUCCCCGCGUCUUCUCCCUUUCUCCUCCCCUGUGUUUCGACCAACACCGACAAAACCCCCCAGCCACUGUCACGUCGGCCACCUAGCCACCGGACCGGUCAAGUUUUGACCGGCGUCGCACCCCAAGCCAGCUCCGACCUUCCUCCUACCUCUGAUGCUGCUGUUUUGCCGGAAAACCCCGGUUUUGAUCGGAUUUUUACUCGGUUUUCCAAUCCAUCGAUCUCUCUCCUCCGGCCCUCAAAUCCUUCGAUUGAGGUCAAAUUUUGCAUGUUUGAAUUUUCAAGGCUUUUACACUGCAGUCUUGGAGAAAGAUGAUGUGUUGAUAUCUGUAGCAUCAAUCAGUGAAUAAGGGGCAACGAAGUUGG